rnacentral:rRNA from 1 species
CCUACGGGAGGCAGCAGUAAGGAAUAUUGCUCAAUGGGCGAAACCCUGAACCAGCAACGCCGCGUGGAGGAUGAAGGUUCUCGGAUUGUAAACUCCUUUUUGUAGAGAAGAUAAUGACGGUAUCUAACGAAUAAGCACCGGCUAACUCCGUGCCAGCAGCCGCGGUAAUACGGAGGGUGCAAGCGUUACUCGGAAUGACUGGGCGUAAAGAGCGCGUAGGCGGGAUAGCAAGUCAGAUGUGAAAUCCUAUGGCUUAACCAUAGAACUGCAUUUGAAACUGUUAUUCUAGAGUAUAGGAGAGGUAGGUGGAAUUCUUGGUGUAGGGGUAAAAUCCGUAGAGAUCAAGAAGAAUACUCAUUGCGAAGGCAGCCUACCAGAACAUAACUGACGCUGAGGCGCGAAAGCGUGGGGAGCAAACAGGAUUAGAUACCCUAGUAGUC